UAGGGAAUCUUCGGCAAUGGGGGGAACCCUGACCGAGCAACGCCGCGUGAGUGAAGAAGGUUUUCGGAUCGUAAAGCUCUGUUGUUAAGGAAGAACGAGUGUGAGAAUGGAAAGUUCAUGCUGUGACGGUACUUAACCAGAAAGGGACGGCUAACUACGUGCCAGCAGCCGCGGUAAUACGUAGGUCCCGAGCGUUGUCCGGAUUUAUUGGGCGUAAAGCGAGCGCAGGAGGUUAGAAAAGUCUGAAGUGAAAGGCAGUGGCUCAACCAUUGUAGGCUUUGGAAACUGUUUAACUUGAGUGCAGAAGGGGAGAGUGGAAUUCCAUGUGUAGCGGUGAAAUGCGUAGAUAUAUGGAGGAACACCGGUGGCGAAAGCGGCUCUCUGGUCUGUAACUGACGCUGAGGCUCGAAAGAGUGGGGAGCGAACAGG
rnacentral:rRNA from 1 species